CUCUCUCUACUCCCCCACCCCUAUCACCGCCUGCUGGAACAGCUAGAUCCAGGGCUCGAGAUCGAGAUCCCCGGCCAGGAAGCAAUGGCAGGGACGGUGACUGUGCCCGGAUCGUCGGUGCCAUCGACGCCGCUGCUCAAGGACGAGCUGGACAUCGUGAUCCCGACGAUCCGCAACCUCGACUUCCUCGAGAUGUGGCGCCCCUUCUUCCAGCCGUACCACCUCAUCAUCGUCCAGGACGGCGACCCCAGUAAGGCCAUCAAGGUUCCCGAGGGCUUCGACUACGACCUUUACAACCGCAACGACAUCAACCGCAUUCUCGGCCCAAAGGCCUCAUGCAUCUCCUUCAAGGACUCCGCGUGCCGCUGCUUCGGCUACAUGGUCUCCAAAAAGAAGUACGUCUUCACCAUCGACGACGACUGCUUCGUAAGUUCUUUCUAACUUUCGCUCUGUGCACAACUCCAAAUUACUCGCGUUUCAUAGUCGCUCUUGCUGGUGAUUGUUCGAAUUCUGCGGAUCUAUGGGAAAAUUGAUUUUUUGUCCUGGAUCUGGGUAGCCUUGUUCUAAUUUCUCCAGAUCUGGCUUGAUCAGAUCUGGAUCUAGGGACCCGCAAUCAGUCACUUCAACAAUAAAGAGUAUCCUGUCAGAUCCUGAGCCGUAUCAGGUUUGAGCAGGAGCUGCUCCCGGGACACGGACAAGCAGCCCUCGGCCUUGCUUGUAUUGGCCGGUAGAGAAUCCACUGAAGUGGUCUCUGUGAUCGUGUAUAAUUAAUUUUCUCCAACUGAUGCAUGUGUCAAGCAGCCCAUCUGUUCGUUGUUCGUUAGCAGUUUGUCCUUAAGAGGUGAACAGUCUUUUUUCAUUUGGGUAGAGGUUCUAGUUUAUCUUCUUUUUUCAUUUGGUUAGAGGUUCUAGUUUAUGUGCGGUUGUGGAACACGGGUUGGCCGAUUCAAUUAGUAACGAAACAAAGCAUUGAGAGUAUUUAGUGUCACUUGGUCCAUGAUAUUUAGUAAGCACCGUUGUAUGUCAAUUUCAUUAUACUCUCUGUACGUAAUCCGAUUGUAAAAGAACUAUGUUUCUACCUUGUGAGAUCCACACCAUGUGGUCUCCACUAGAUCUUGCCUUUCCUGAUGAAGCAAUCAAGUGGGGGUGAACUGUUGUAUUUUUCUGACAGUGUCUUAGUGUGUUGCUUCAACUGAAAUUUAUUGGUCCUCUUUGGAAAUAGGUGGCCAAGGACCCAUCUGGCAAAGACAUCAAUGCUCUUGAGCAGCACAUCAAGAACCUCCUCAGCCCGUCAACCCCGUUUUUCUUCAAUACCUUGUAUGACCCCUACCGUGAAGGCGCGGACUUUGUUCGUGGAUACCCCUUCAGCCUUAGGGAGGGUGCACCCACUGCUGUCUCUCAUGGCCUUUGGCUGAACAUCCCUGACUAUGAUGCACCCACACAGAUGGUCAAACCUCGUGAGAGGAACAGCAGGUACUGCAUUUUGUUAGCAAAAUACUGCUCUGCUGCUAAUUAGCAAUCAUUGUAUUGCAUCCAGAAUUGCUGUUGAUCUCCUAUAUUUUGUUUAGGUAUGUUGAUGCCGUCCUGACUAUUCCCAAGGGAACAUUGUUCCCCAUGUGUGGCAUGAACCUUGCUUUUGACCGUCAGCUCAUCGGCCCUGCAAUGUACUUUGGCCUCAUGGGUGAUGGCCAGCCUAUUGGUCGCUACGAUGACAUGUGGGCUGGAUGGUGCGUCAAGGUAUGCAUAUAACUGAACUCACUUGUAUUUCCACUUCACUUGACUGAAGAAAUGAAAUCUUCUAAAAUAAACUGAAGAAAUGAACCUGAUACAACUGUGUAAACUUCAGGUCAUC
rnacentral:lncRNA from 1 species